UACGUAGGGUGCGAGCGUUAAUCGGAAUUACUGGGCGUAAAGCGUGCGCAGGCGGUGAUGUAAGACAGGUGUGAAAUCCCCGGGCUUAACCUGGGAACUGCAUUUGUGACUGCAUCGCUGGAGUGCGGCAGAGGGGGGUGGAAUUCCACGUGUAGCAGUGAAAUGCGUAGAGAUGUGGAGGAACACCGAUGGCGAAGGCAGCCCCCUGGGCUAAGAUUGACGCUCAGGCACGAAAGCGUGGGGAGCAAACAGG
rnacentral:rRNA from 1 species